UGGCUGAGUGGUAAAGCUCUCGUCUUUCAAACCGAAAAUCUUGGGUUCAAAUCCCGG
rnacentral:tRNA from 1 species